UAUAAAAAAAACACAUGCACGCACUUUAUACUUCGAUGACUUCACAUCGUCGUCGUAUCCUAUUGUCUUUGACUUCGCUGUCGUUUUAUCUUCUGUUACAGCCGGCCUUGUAUACUCGGGGAGCGGGAAGGACGUUGGGGGUUAUAUUCUCCCCUCCCCCCGUUCGCUUAAAACUACAACGGCCACAAGUAUUUAUUUAGUAAUUUGACUGCGGUAUUAUGCGUACAACAUGUCCGCUGACACU